rnacentral:rRNA from 1 species
GACGAACGCUGGCGGCGUGCCUAAUACAUGCAAGUCGAGCGGACAGAAGGGAGCUUGCUCCCGGAAGUUAGCGGCGGACGGGUGAGUAACACGUGGGCAACCUACCCUGUAGAUCGGGAUAACAUCGAGAAAUCGGUGCUAAUACCGGAUAAUCAUUUGAAGUGCAUGCUUCGAAUGUAAAAGUUGGCUCCGGCUAUCACUACGGGAUGGGCCCGCGGCGCAUUAGCUAGUUGGUAAGGUAAUGGCUUACCAAGGCAACGAUGCGUAGCCGACCUGAGGGGGUGAUCGGCCACACUGGGACUGAGACACGGCCCAGACUCCUACGGGAGGCAGCAGUAGGGAAUCUUCCGCAAUGGACGAAAGUCUGACGGAGCAACGCCGCGUGAGUGAUGAAGGUUUUCGGAUCGUAAAGCUCUGUUGUUAGGGAAGAACAAGUGCCGUUUGAAUAAGGCGGCACCUUGACGGUACCUAACCAGAAAGCCACGGCUAACUAUGUGCCAGCAGCCGCCGUAAGAC